AGUCAUCAGUGCCCCGAUCUCGCCUCUCGCCAGCCUCCGGACCCCGACACCAGGAAACACACCCAGUAAAGCUAAGGGCAAUGCUCAACAGAGGGCGAUUGCAGACAUACCAAACUGCAGACUUUCAGUCCAAUGAAACCUUGAAAAACUUCAGGCAUAUGCUGGCAGAAACCUCAUGAAGGUCAACUGAGAAAAGAGCAAGUUUUGCAGCACUGCAAGAUAAUCUCAGAGCUGCCAGAAAGGACCUGCAACUGUGCUGAAAUCCAGGUUAAAUACGAGGUAGCAGUGUGCUGUCAUUGCAAAUGAAGCAAACUCUGUCCUGGGUUGCAUUACAAGGAAGAUGGACAGCAGAGUAAGAAAAUAUCCUCUCUUCUGCCUUACUGGUGAGAAUUCUGGGGUCCCCAGUUCAAAAGAACAAAGCAACUGCUAGAGAAAGAAUCUUGGGAAGGGCUACAAAGAUUGAGGGGACUGGAGCAUCUACAGCUCCCUGAAAGAUGGUUGUAAGAAGGUGAAGACUCAAAAUUUAUUUGAGCAGAAGCCUGUACAACAUGCUCUAGGAGACUAGAGCUAGAUUCAUUCCUGUCAGUUUUACAAGUGAGCAGAAAGAAGCAGCUAAGCAGAGAGGAGUUCAGCCUAACUAAGGAGGCCCAGCCAGCACCCAUGGAUGAUGUUUUGUGAUAAUCAAGCCUAUUCCUACCUAACCAGUGAGCCACCAGGCCCCCUGGCCUUUGCCCACUUCCCAGUCACCCAGUGUGCACCAUGAGGACUCACAAAUGAUGAUGGAAGGAGGAUCCCUCUGCCCAGGCAGAAAGCAAGCAUUCUGCUCAUCUGAAUUCCAGUUUUCACUUUUUCAGACUUCUCAAGUGAAUCAGCGGCCUGUAUCUUACACAUUUUUAAGGAGAACAUCUCACAUCUCACAAAACAACUUGUUUUAGAGCCGAGACUUCAUUUAAACACUGUACAUGGCAAAACUUCAGUAACCUGUCAGUAAAUCAAUGUAAUAUCCGUGGGUAUCCAUUAUCUUACUGGGACAGAAGCGUUCAGCAACGGAAACAGGAAGCCACCAACUGGUCAGGAGUGGAUGGGAACCAAUACAAAGCAAACCUGCCUGUUAUUAAGUAUCUUUUAUUGAACUACUCAGCUUGUUGUUUUGUGGUUGUUUCUUUUUCCUUGCUGAAGACUGAAUUUUAGAAUUCUGUGUUCAUCUAUCUGUUAUAUCUGGCAUCAUAGAUGUAUUUCUAUUAUAGACAGACUCCAGAAGUUUGUAUUAUUCUAACAUCCCAGAGAGAAUCUGAAUUCUUGGAAGUUUGGUGGGUUUUUUUCACUCACAUUUUCUACUCACUUUUUUCUCUAUCUUGGUAAUAAGUCCACUUACACUGAAUUGAGAGGAUAGCUCACAUCUGGAUGUUGGUUUGUGGAUUUAAAUUCAAAGUGUUGACAGUUCAUGUAUUUAACUUUCUAUCACUCAGAAUUGAAAGCACAUUAAUUUCAGCAACAA